UGUCAGUAGAUUUAACAGUAAAAUACCGUAUAAAUGCUACAGUAUAAAACCGUAUUUCAUAAAACAUGCGAAACCCGUAGAAUUUACAGUGGAAAUCUGUAAUUAGUUUUACGGAGUAAGACCGUACAUUUAACAGGUAAAAACAUAUGAAAAUACGGUUUAUUGGAGUAAAACAUUACAGUACACUGUAUUAUUUGCCGUAAAAAAAGAACGUCUUAAAAAUAUUCUUAUUACAAAUAGGCUACAUAAACAUAUCUGACUCCCCUGUGCAGUGUGCACUUAAACCAGUUUUAAUAUGUGUUAUAAAAUCAUCUUUUUCUGUGUAAAGUUGUAAUAUAAUGACUUCUAUACAUUGUUUAGCUUAAAUUGUCUGCCUAAACCCCCCAAAAAAUUUCACCUUGACAUUUGUCACUUUUGAUAAUUUAAAUAUUGUUUUUAUGUAAUUAGCAGUGCUUUUACAUUUUUAGAUUGUGUGAAACAAAUUUUUUGUCUCUGAACUCAAGAAUGUAUUUUAUGGUAAAGCAAUCAACUCAACAAGCAUUUAAAACAUAACCGUUAAGCAUCAUCCAAUCAAGAUAUACGUUGCGCCUUGGCUUCGUGAACAAAGGAUGUGAUUGGUUGAAUACUCAUUGGCGCGGAGCACACAGUAACGUAAAGUUUGCGUUCCCGCGUUUCAACAGUGACGAUUCUGAUGAAGCACUGUCGGAGCUGAACUACAAAUCAGUGGAAUAUAUAUAUAUAUAUAUAUAUAUAUGUAUGUAAUUGGGCAUAUUGGUAAGUUGGAUUUAACGGUUUUAGCAGUGUGUGAUUUUAAACACGAGUAGAAUGUACACUGUUUUCAUGGGGCAUAAACAUAUUUAACUAGCCAGCGCAUGUAGGCAGACUUGCAAGUCCUAAAGCGUGAGAGCUCUUGAUCCGUGGAAAUAUUCUGUAAAAUAUAUGUUUGUUAAGUACUUUUGCUAAAUAGAAUCAAGCAGUGCAUCGUUUUAAAUACGAGUAAGUUAGCAUGUAGGCUACACUGUUUAAACAUGCCUGGCAGCGGAUGUAGUAAAACUCGCAAGCUCUAGAUGUCCUGCCCAGUUUGUGAAAUAUAAUUUAUGUGUUUGAAACCGUAGUAGAGUGUGUAUUUGUUCACGUAGUUUAAAUGUUUAGCUGUCAGUUCUGUGUGAUAUCAGUGCAAAUCCUUAGGUAGCAUGUUUUACAUAACAAACUUCACCUUAAACCACGGUGCGUGUUCAAGUGUGCAUUUUUACCGUAAACAAAAUAGAUUCACGUGUUGCUACUCCACAUGCCCUUGCUGUCACAAAACUAGAAGUUUUGAGAGUACAGAAAUGGUUGCUCAGAGGAUGUGAAAGGCAUGAUUCUUCUACCUCUCUCCUGUUUUGAUGAGAAAGAGGAGCUCCUCCAUUAUGUAGAAGAGACAAGCCUGGCAAAGGAUGUGGAGUUAGAAAACCUGCCUGUGACGCCUUGCAUUAUUGUGUGUGUGGACCCUCCUGCUAUGCUGCUGUCCGAUUCAUGCUAGCUGUGGACCGCAAGAUUGUGAAUGAUGACAUCACUUCUUUCAUCUCUGCUGUUUGCCUAAUGUUCUGCAGUUAUUACUGCUCCAAAAUUAACUACCCUACUGAACUGGCGUCAGUGCUUGAAUUCCUGCAAAGGUGUUUUUUUCAUCCUCAAUCCGGAGAAAGGGAAUAAAGGAGGUGGAAAAGAAAAACAAAAAGCUACUCCCAGUCUUCACCCUAAUCGCUGACCUUUCUGAUCAUGAAUGGCGAGAGACUUUGUAAAGGUGGUCUGCAGACUGUUUCCAAGUUUAUACUCGGGGUGAGAGACUUUGUAAAGGUGGCCUACAGACUGUUUCCAAGUUUUAAUCUCUUAAAGGGUUAUUUCAGGCUUGAAUCAAAUUUUCCCCAUGUUUUACUUACCCUCAAGGCAUCCUAAGUGAAUGUAACUUUCUUCUUGAGGAAUAAUGGAGUCAGAGUAAUAAUACCACGUAUCCUUUUACUUCCAAGCAGUAGAAUGGGAGUGAAUGGGGGGCAAUUUUUUAAAUCUCCAAAAAGUGCAUCCAUUGAUCAAAGAGCGGCUCGACACGGCUCCGUGGUCUUAACAAAGGUCUUCUGAAGCGAAUCCAUGCGUUUGUUUAAGAGAAAUAUACAUAUUGACAACGCUAUAAAGGAUAAUGUCCAACAUCCGCUGCAGGCGAGCGAGAGGCUUGUUUCUCCGGCAAAUGACGCAGAGUCUUCACCCUAAGUAAGUUCCUGUGACGAACACCAUUUUUCGCCAAUAUAAACACCGCCUCUUCUGGGCGGGAGCUUUCGUCGCCAUCAUUUAACGGAAAAACAAGCCUCUCUUUCGCCUGCAGCGGCUGUUAGACAUUAUCCUUAAUAGCGUUGUCAAUAUGCAUAUUUCUCUUAAACAAACGCAUUGAUUCGCUUCAGAAGACCUUUGUUAAGACCACGGAGCCGUGUCGAGCCGUUCUUCUUUCAUCGAUGGAUGCACUUUUUGGAGCUUCAAAAAAUCCCCCCCAUUCACUCACAUUCUGCCGCUUGGAAGUCAAAGAAUACGUGGUAUUAUUACUUUGAUUGCAUUAUUCUUCAAGAAGAAAGUCACAUUCACUUAGGAUGCCGUGAGGGUAAGUAAAACAUGGGGAAAUUUUGAUUUUAAGCAUGAAGUAUCACUUUAAAGGGAUAGUUCUCCCCAAAGUGAAAAUUCUGUCAUUUCCUCACUCUCAGGUUCUUCCAAACCUGUAUACAUUUUUUGUUCGGUUAAACAAAAAGGAAGCUAUUUAUAAGAAUGUCAGUAACCAAACAGAUCUUAUCCCUCAUUUACUGCCAUAGUAGGGAAAAAAAAUACUAUGGGAGUCAAUGGGGGAUGAGAUCUGUUUGGUAAAUGACAUUCUUACAAAUAAAUUCCUUGGUGUUUAGCAGAACAAAGAAAUAUAUACAGUACAGGUUUGACAUGACAAGAGAGUGAGUAAAUGAUGACAGAAUUUUCAUUUUUGGGUGAAGCAUCACUUUAAAUGUAGACUGGACUGAACGAUUUUAAUUAAACCACUGUAUACCAGUUGAAACACGAGAACAGAAAAAUGCACUAAUAUUUUGUCUUAAAUGCCUGCCAGUCUUUAUUAAAGAUACUUGGGACCUCACUGAUGUCUUUGUCUUUUAUAGAUUUUGAUGGGUUUUGAUGAUUUGAUUUAGGUUUGCAAAUGUAAGAUAUUUAUCAAUUAGUUUAACAGUAAUUUUAAUAGUUUCUUAAAGGUUAAAUCUGAAUGUUUAGCAAAUAAUUAUAGAGUUUAACUGUAAUUAUUACAACAUAAACCUUUAAAUUAGACAGUGCUGAACUGUAAAAAAGAUGGUUAUGAACCGUAAUUAAUACAAUGUAAACCUUUAAAUUAGAAAGUGCUGAACUGUAAAAAAGAUGGUUAUGAACCGUAAUUAAUACAAUGUAAAUCCUGGAAUUUGACAGGUAUAAACUGUUUUUAUAACAGCAUAAACAAGUAAAUUAGACAGUUAUGAACCGUAAAAAAGAAAAUUAUUAACUGUAAAAUAUACGGUACAGUGGGUGCAAUCCCGUAAAACCAAUAACGUUGCAACCGUACUUUUGACGGUAAAGUUCUGGCAACCACAGCUGCCGGUUUUUUACCGUAAAAUUUACGGAAUAUUUUUUA